rnacentral:rRNA from 1 species
GUGAGGAAUUUUCCGCAAUGGGCGAAAGCCUGACGGAGCAAUGCCGCGUGAAGGAUGAAGGCCUAUGGGUUGUAAACUUCUUUUCUCAGAAAAGAAUUAUGACGGUAUCUGAGGAAUAAGCAUCGGCUAACUCUGUGCCAGCAGCCGCGGUAAGACAGAGGAUGCAAGCGUUAUCCGGAAUGAUUGGGCGUAAAGCGUCUGUAGGUUGUUUAAAAAGUAUUCUGUCAAAGAUUAGGGCUUAACCCUAGAUAGGCAGAAUAAACUUUUAAGCUAGAGUUUGUUAGAGGCAGAGGGAAUUCCCGGUGGAGCGGUGAAAUGCGUAGAUAUCGGGAGGAACACCAAAGGCGAAGGCACUCUGCUGGGCCAAUACUAACACUGAGAGACGAAAGCGAGGGGAGCAAAUGGGAUUAGAUACCCGGGUAGUCC